AGACCCGAAACCCGGUGAUCUAGCCAUGGGCAGGUUGAAGGUUGGGUAACACUAACUGGAGGACCGAACCGACUAAUGUUGAAAAAUUAGCGGAUGACCUGUGGCUGGGGGUGAAAGGCCAAUCAAACCGGGAGAUAGCUGGUUCUCCCCGAAAGCUAUUUAGGUAGCGCCUCGUGAAUUCAUCUCCGGGGGUAGAGCACUGUUUCGGCUAGGGGGCCAUCCCGGCUUACCAACCCGAUGCAAACUGCGAAUACCGGAGAAUGUUAUCACGGGAGACACACGGCGGGUGCUAACGUCCGUCGUGAAGAGGGAAACAACCCAGACCGCCAGCUAAGGUCCCAAAGUCAUGGUUAAGUGGGAAACGAUGUGGGAAGGCCCAGACAGCCAGGAUGUUGGCUUAGAAGCAGCCAUCAUUUAAAGAAAGCGUAAUAGCUCACUGGUCGAGUCGGCCUGCGCGGAAGAUGUAACGGGGCUAAACCAUGCACCGAAGCUGCGGCAGCGAACGUAUCACUUAAAGCGAUUCAGCGGGUUACGAUUGACGGAGCGAAGCGACGUCAAAGCGUAUACAAAGUCGAGUCGGUUUAAGGAUACGUUCGUUGGGUAGGGGAGCGUUCUGUAAGCCUGUGAAGGUGGCCUGUGAGGGUUGCUGGAGGUAUCAGAAGUGCGAAUGCUGACAUAAGUAACGAUAAAGCGGGUGAAAAGCCCGCUCGCCGGAAGACCAAGGGUUCCUGUCCAACGUUAAUCGGGGCAGGGUGAGUCGACCCCUAAGGCGAGGCCGAAAGGCGUAGUCGAUGGGAAACGGGUUAAUAUUCCCGUACUUGGUGUUACUGCGAA
rnacentral:rRNA from 1 species